CGAAAUUGUGGCCGCCCCGCCCCCUCGUCCCUAUUUGUGCAGACGAGGCCCCGCCCCCCCGCCCCGGCGCACGCAGGGUCGCAGCGUGCUCGCGCCCGCAGACGCCUGGGAACUGUGGCCGCGGGCUCGCGCUCCCCGCCGGGCCCUGCCGCCGGGCUGCCAUCCUUGCCCUGCCAUGUCUCGCCGGAAGCCUGCGUCGGGCGGCCUCGCUGCCUCCAGCUCAGCCCCUGCGAGGCAAGCGGUUUUGAGCCGAUUCUUCCAGUCUACGGGAAGCCUGAAAUCCACUUCCUCCUCCACAGGUGCAGCGGACCAGGUUGACCCUGGCGCUGCAGCGGCCGCAGCGCCCCCAGCGCCCGCCUUCCCGCCCCAGCUGCCGCCACACGCAGUAGGUUCUGUCUGGGACGGGGCAGGGCCAUCGGGGCUGGGGGGCGGGGCUUGUGGGUAAGGCGGGCGGAGGGUCCCAUGAUAGGGCUGGAGGAGGAAGGGGCGGGCUGAAGAAGGGGAAGGUGGGAAGAGCCCAGCCGGGGCUACAAACUGGGUGAAGCGCUGAGGUUUUAGUACUUCCGUUUGAGGAGAUAGGCAAAGGUUACGCAGGCCUGAGACAGGAACUCAGGUCUCCUGACUCGCAUUCUGAUGAGGGGGCUUGUGGGUAAGGGGUGCGUCUUUUAACCUCCAUCCUUUUUUUUUUUUUCCUUGGUGGUCGAAGAGUUUUACUGAUUUUUUAAAAAAAUGCUGGAUUGGGUGACUAGAAGAAAGCUGCCCUUAGGUCUCCAGUUUUUAAGACUACAACAGCGUGGCUCAAUAUUUGAAAUCACUACGGUUAAAAGCAGUCAUAUUGUGCAGUUCCCCAGUGAACACUUUUUGUAGUUUAGAUUAUAAAGUCUGAAAUACAAUUUGGGUGGAUAAAGUUUCUUAGGAUGGUAUAGAUGGAAACACUUAAAUUGCAAUGAACAUGUCAAAAAUGAUACUGUUC
rnacentral:lncRNA from 1 species